AUUGAACGCUGGCGGCGUGCCUAACACAUGCAAGUCGAGCGGUAACAGGUGUGGCAAUACAUGCUGACGAGCGGCGAACGGGUGAGUAAUGCUUCGGAAUCUACCCAAUGGUGGGGAAUAACCAGCCGAAAGGUUGGCUAAUACCGCAUACGUCCCACGGGAGAAAGCAGGGGAUCGCAAGACCUUGCGCCAAUGGAUGAGCCGAAGUCGGAUUAGCUAGUGGAGGUACGGCUACCAAGCGACGAUCCGUAGCUGGUCUGAGAGGACGACCAGCCACACUGGGACUGAGACACGGCCCAGGACUCCUACGGGAGGCAGGCAGUGGGGAAUAUUGGACAAUGGGGGAAACCCUGAUCCAGCGACGCCGCGUGUGUGAAGAAGGCC
rnacentral:rRNA from 1 species